rnacentral:rRNA from 1 species
AUGGCCGCCGACGCGCUCUCCAUCAUCCCGGGCGCCGUGCUGCGCAACCUCGCCGACAAGCUCUACGAGAAGCGGAAGAACGCCGCGCUCGAGAUUGAGGGGAUCGUGAAGCAGCUGUCCACGGCGGGGGAGCACGACAAGAUUGCGGCCGUGAUCGGGCUGCUCACAAACGAUUUCACAUACUCCCCCCAGGCGAACCACCGGAAGGGCGGAUUGAUUGGGCUCGCGGCAGUUACUGUAGGGCUCACCAGUGAGGCUGCUCAGCACCUCGAGAAGGACUGGGACAAUAAUUGGUACUCCCUCCGUUCACAAAGUUUUGGUCAUUUCAAUAUGGACUACCUAAUUGUACCUCCCGUGCUUAAUUCUUUCCUGGACCAAGAUAGCAGAGUGCGCUACUAUGCCUGUGAAGCGCUAUAUAACAUAGCGAAGGUUGUAAGAGGGGAUUUUAUCAUCUACUUCAACAAGAUUUUUGAUGCGCUAUGCAAACUGUCUGCAGACUCUGAUGCAAAUGUGCAGAGUGCAGCUCAUCUUCUUGACAGGCUUGUCAAGGAUAUUGUAACUGAGAGUGAUCAAUUCAGCAUAGAAGAAUUUAUACCACUCUUGAGAGAACGCAUGAAUGUGCUGAAUCCUUAUGUGCGGCAAUUUUUGGUGGGGUGGAUCACGGUUUUAGACAGUGUGCCUGAUAUUGACAUGCUUGGUUUCCUUCCUGAUUUUCUUGAUGGUUUAUUUAAUAUGCUGAGUGAUUCCAGUCAUGAGAUAAGGCAGCAAGCAGAUGCAGCACUUUCAGAGUUUCUGCAGGAAAUAAAAAAUUCACCAAAUGUAGAUUAUGGUCGUAUGGCUGAAAUUCUUGUUAGGAGGGCAGGCUCUCCUGAUGAAUUCACUCGUUUGACAUCUAUCACAUGGAUCAAUGAGUUCGUGAAGCUUGGUGGGGAACAACUAGUCCCUUACUAUGCUGAUAUCUUGGGAGCUAUCUUGCCAUGCAUCUCUGACGAGGAGGAGAAAAUUCGAGUGGUUGCACGUGAAACUAAUGAGGAACUUCGAGCUAUAAAAGCUGAUCAAGCCGAGGGAUUUGACAUUGGAGCGAUUCUUGUGAUCGCAAAGAGAGAAUUGAAUAGCGAACAUGAAGCCACUCGGAUUGAGGCAUUACACUGGUUUUCCACUUUACUAGUUCGAGGUCGUGCUGAGUUCUCGGCAUACCUGGAUGGCAUUUUUGAACCACUUCUAAAUGCACUCUCCGAUCCUUCAGAUGCGGUUGUCCUUUUAGUGUUGGAAGUUCAUGCACGCAUAGCUGAAGAGUAUCAUCACUUCCAACAUCUCAUGUCUUACUUAAUCCAUACUUUCCACAACAAUCAUGUUCUUCUGGAGAAGCGUGGUGCUUUGAUUGUUCGUCGACUUUGUGUUCUUCUGGGUGCUGAAAAAGUUUAUCGAGAGUUUUCUACUAUUCUUCAGACUGAAGGUGACCUUGAUUUUGCCUCCACCAUGGUUCAGGCAUUGAAUUUGAUUUUGCUCACAUCUACUGAACUUGCGGAGCUGCGGUCUCUUCUUAAAAAGUCAUUGGUGGAUACUUGUGGGAAGGACUUAUUUCUAUCUUUAUACGCUUCUUGGUGCCACUCUCCAAUGGCUACAAUCAGCUUGUGCUUACUUGCUCAGGCAUACAAUCAUGCGAGUUCUGUUAUUCAGUCUCUGGGAGAAGAAGACAUAAAUGUGAAGUUUCUGGUGCAGCUAGAUAAAUUGAUCCGUCUAUUAGAGACUCCAGUAUUUGCUUACUUGCGUUUACAGCUUCUUGAGCCUGGAAAACACACUUGGCUUCUGAAAACACUUUACGGUCUCCUUAUGCUCUUGCCUCAGCAAAGUGCGGCCUUCAAGAUCUUGAGGACUCGACUGAAGACAGUGCCUUUCAGUGAAAAUCUCAAGCGCACAUCUUCUGCAAAUCCAUACUCUCAGAUUCUACAAGUGACAGAAGAUGGCAAUCGAAAUCAAGAUGUGCCAAACUAUAGCGCAAUCGAUUUUUCAUCUCGUCUCCAGCAAUUUGGGAGCAUGCAGCAGCAGCACCGAAACCAUUUGAAGAAUCAACUGCAAUCUCGAAAAUCCGCUUCAGCAGCAGUAUUAUCGCAGGAGAUUCAAAGAUAUGAAGAAUCAGAAUCCUCCUCAACACCAGAGAUAAGCAGGCCCCCAUCUAGAGCACCCAAAGCCAUUUCAUGA